GAUGAACGCUAGCUACAGGCUUAACACAUGCAAGUCGAGGGGAAACGAUAGAGAAAGCUUGCUUUUUCUAGGCGUCGACCGGCGCACGGGUGAGUAACGCGUAUCCAACCUGCCCAUCACUUGGGGAUAACCUUGCGAAAGUAAGACUAAUACCCAAUGACGUCUCUAGAAGACAUCUGAAAGAGAUUAAAGAUUUAUCGGUGAUGGAUGGGGAUGCGUCUGAUUAGCUUGUUGGCGGGGUAACGGCCCACCAAGGCGACGAUCAGUAGGGGGUCUGAGAGGAAGGUCCCCCACAUUGGAACUGAGACACGGUCCAAACUCCUACGGGAGUCAGCAGUUAGGAAUAUUGUUCAAUGGACGAGAGUCUGAACCAGCCAAGUAGCGUGCAGGAUGACGGCCCUAUGGGUUGUAAACUGCUUUUAUAAGGGAAUAAAGUGAGUCUCGUGAGACUUUUUGCAUGUACCUUAUGAAUAAGGACCGGCUAAUUCCGUGCCAGCCGCCGCCGUAA
rnacentral:rRNA from 1 species